rnacentral:rRNA from 1 species
UCAAGCGAACAAGGGCGCAGGGCGAAUGCCUUGGCACUGGGAGCCGAUGAAAGACGUGAUAAGCUGCGAUAAGCUUCGGGGAGCUGCAAAUAAGCAUUGAUCCGGAGAUUUCUGAAUGAGGAAACUCACCUGGGUUCAUACUCAGGUACGUUGUACUGAAAUUCAAAAUAGGUACAUCGGGGGAACCGCCUGAACUGAAACAUCUAAGUAGGGCGAGGAAGAGACAUCAAACGAGAUUCCGUAAGUAGUGGCGAGCGAACGCGGAAGAGGGCAAACCGAAGGUAGAAAUACCUUCGGGGUACGGACUGCUUUUAGGACUCGAUCUGUUAACCGAACGGCAUGGGAAGGCCGGUCAGAGAGUGUGAGAACCACGUAGGUGAAAACGGAAAGAGCUGCGCAGAUUCCAGAGUACGGCCAGACACGUGAAACCUGGUCGGAAGAUGGGGGGACCACCCUCCAACCCUAAAUACUACCCAGUGACCGAUAGCGUAUAGUACUGUGAAGGAAAGGUGAAAAGCACCCCGGGAGGGGAGUGAAAAAGAACCUGAAACCCUGUGCCUACAAGCACCUAGAGCACGUCAAUGUGUGAUAGGGUACUUUUUGUAGAACGGUCCGGCGAGCGAUUGUAUGCAGCAAGGUUAAGGACUUAAGGUCUGGAGCCGAAGCGAAAGCGAGUUUGAAAAGGGCGUUAAGUUGCAUAUAAUGGGCCCGAAACCGGGUGACCUACCCAUGGUCAGGUUGAAGUGGAAGUAAAAUUCCAUGGAGGACCGAACCGACCUCCGUUGAAAAGGCGGCGGAUGAACUGUGGGUAGCGGAGAAAUUCCAAUCGAACCCGGAGAUAGCUGGUUCUCCCCGAAAUAGUUUUAGGACUAGCCUCAAGUUAGAUACCUGGAGGUAAAGCACUGAAUAGCCUAGCGGCCGAGAGGUUAGCGAAGCUUAUCAAACUCAGAAUGCCAGAGUAUUGAUGCUUGGGAGUCAGACAGUGUCAGAUAAAUGUCAUUGUCAAAAGGGAAACAGCCCAGAUCUACAGCUAAGGUCCCAAAGUCAGGUUAAGUGGAAAACGAUGUGAAGAUACGCAGACAACCAGGAUGUUGGCUCAGAAGCAGCCACUCAUUCAAAGAGUGCGUAAUAGCUCACUGGUCGAGCGUCUUUGCGCGGAGAAUUUAACGGGGCUAAACCUGACACCGAAGCUUAGGCAAUCCAGCAAUGGAUUGGGUAGGGGAGCGUUGUAUACGCGGAGAAACAGUAGCGUAAGCGGCUGUGGAGUGUAUAGAAGUGAGAAUGCCGGAAUGAGUAGCGCGAAUGCAGUGAGAAUCUGCAUGGCCGAAAGCCUCAGGUUUUUGGAGGAAGGUUCGUCCGCUCCAAGUUAGUCGGGAGCUAAGGUGAGGCCGGAAGGCGUAGCCGAUGCACAGACGGUAGAGAUUCCGUCACCACCAAAAGAGUUAAGCACAGGGACACAUUUGAAGUCUCAGAGCCGGGUGUUGGUUCCGGUAGAGAUCGAGGGAAGUUAGUACCGAAGUCUGGGAUGGAGGAUGGCGAGAAAAGCUGUGUGUAUUUCUGAGGUGCCCGUACCGCAAACCGACACAGGUAGGUAGGAAGAAGAUUCUAAGGCCAACGGGAGAAGGGUUGUUAAGGAACUCGGCAAAUUGACCCCGUAACUUCGGGAGAAGGGGUGCUCCAGAGAUGGAGCCGCAGAGAAUCGGCCCAAGCAACUGUUUACCAAAAACACAGGUUUGUGCUAAAUCGAAAGAUGACGUAUACGAGCUGACGCCUGCCCGGUGCUGGAAGGUUAAGAGGAGAUGUGCAAGCAUUGAAUCGAAGCCCCAGUGAACGGCGGCCGUAACUAUAACGGUCCUAAGGUAGCGAAAUUCCUUGUCAGGUAAG